GACGAACGCUGGCGGCGUGCUUAACACAUGCAAGUCGAACGAUGAAGCCGGAGCUUGCUCUGGUGAAUUAGUGGCGAACGGGUGAGUAACACGUGAGUAACCUGCCCUUGACUCUGGGAUAACUGCUAGAAAUGGUAGCUAAUACCGGAUACGACCCUCGGCGGCAUCGCCAGGGGGUGGAAAGAAUUUCGGUCAAGGAUGGACUCGCGGCCUGUCAGCUAGUUGGUGAGGUAACGGCUCACCAAGGCGACGACGGGUAGCCGGCCUGAGAGGGUGACGGGCCACACUGGGACUGAGACACGGCCCAGGCUCCUACGGGAGGCAGCAGUGGGGAAUAUUGCACAAUGGGCGCAAGCCUGAUGCAGCAACGCCGCGUGAGGGAUGACGGCCUUCGGGUUGUAAACCUCUUUUAGUAGGGAAGAAGCGAAAGUGACGGUACCUGCAGAAAAAGCACCGGCUAACUACGUGCCAGCCGCCGCCGUAA
rnacentral:rRNA from 1 species